AGCAGCCGCGGUAAUUCCAGCUCCAAUAGCGUAUAUUAAAGUUGUUGCCGUUAAAAAGCUCGUAGUUGAACCUUGGACCGGGCUGAUCUGUCCUCCUAAUCGAGCGUAUGGAUUCGGUCGGGUCUUUCCUUCUGGGGAUCCCGAUGCCCUUCACUGGGCGUCGUGGGGAACCAGGACUUUUACCUUGAAAAAAUUAGAGUGUUCAAAGCAGGCUCACGCUUGAAUACAUUAGCAUGGAAUAACGGAAUAGGACGUUUGAUUCUAUUUUGUUGGUUUCUAGGAUCGACGUAAUGAUUAAUAGGGAUAGUUGGGGGCAUUAGUAUUCAAUUGUCAGAGGUGAAAUUCUUGGAUUUAUUGAAGACUAACUACUGCGAAAGCAUUUGCCAAGGAUGUUUUCAUUAAUCAAGAACGAAAGUUAGGGGAUCGAAGACGAUCAGAUACCGUCGUAGUCUUAACCAUAAACUAUG
rnacentral:rRNA from 1 species